CCUACGGGUGGCUGCAGUGGGGAAUAUUGGGCAAUGGGCGCAAGCCUGACCCAGCAACGCCGCGUGAAGGAAGAAGGCUUUCGGGUUGUAAACUUCUUUUCUCAGGGACGAAGCAAGUGACGGUACCUGAGGAAUAAGCCACGGCUAACUACGUGCUAGUAGCCGCGGUAAUACGUAGGUGGCAAGCGUUAUCCGGAUUUACUGGGUGUAAAGGGCGUGUAGGCGGGACUGCAAGUCAGAUGUGAAAACCACGGGCUCAACCUGGGGCCUGCAUUUGAAACUGUAGUUCUUGAGUACUGGAGAGGCAGACGGAAUGUAUAGUGUAGCGGUGAAAUGCAUAGAGAUUAGGCAGAACACCAGUGGCGAAGGCAGUCUACUGGACAACGACUGACGCUGAGGCGCGAAAGCGUGGGGAGCAAACAGGAUUAGAUACCCGUGUAGUC
rnacentral:rRNA from 1 species